UACGUAGGGGGCAAGCGUUGUCCGGAAUCAUUGGGCGUAAAGCGCGUGUAGGCGGUCCGGUAAGUCCGCUGUGAAAGUCGGGGGCUCAACCCUCGGAUGCCGGUGGAUACUGUCGGGCUUGAGUACGGAAGAGGCGAGUGGAAUUCCUGGUGUAGCGGUGAAAUGCGCAGAUAUCAGGAGGAACACCUAUAGCGAAGGCAGCUUGCUGGGACGACACUGACGCUGAGGCGCGAAAGCGUGGGGAGCGAACAGG
rnacentral:rRNA from 1 species